rnacentral:tRNA from 3 species
CGGAGUGUAGCGCAGCCUGGUAGCGCAUCUGGUUUGGGACCAGAGGGUCGUAGGUUCGAAUCCUACCACUCCGACCA